AGAAUCAACGCUGGCGGCGUGCCUAACACAUGCAAGUCGAACGAGAAAGGGGUAGCAAUACCCUGAGUAAAGUGGCGCACGGGUGAGUAACACGUGACUAACCUACCCUGGAGUGGGGGAUAACUGAGGGAAACCUUAGCUAAUACCGCAUAAUACCCACGGGUCAAAGGAGCAAUUCGCUUCAGGAGGGGGUCGCGGCCGAUUAGUUAGUUGGCGGGGUAGUGGCCCACCAAGACGAUGAUCGGUAUCCGGCCUGAGAGGGCGCACGGACACACUGGAACUGAAACACGGUCCAGACUCCUACGGGAGGCAGCAGUGGGGAAUUUUGCGCAAUGGGGGAACCCUGACGCAGCAACGCCGCGUGGAGGAUGAAGUACUUCGGUACGUAAACUCCUUUCGAUCGGGACGAUAAUGACGGUACCGAGAGAAGAAGCCCGGCUAACGUUCGCGCCAGCAGCCGC
rnacentral:rRNA from 1 species